GCAUAAUGGGACUUCAACCUAAUUCUUUGCCAAACUCUCAUUGAUCGUUAGUGUGGAAUAAAUGUGAACAUUGGAUCAUUAAUCCUCUCUACUGUCCUUGGAGAGAAGUGGCAAGCAAUAUCCCAUUAUUUUCCAGUGGAGGAAAGAAAGGGGUGGAGGGUGUGCUGCUGGCACCCAUGUGCCUCACCUCCUUGGUGCUGUGGACAGUGGUACUGUGGUCAAGAAGACUCUUCUUAAGCACUGAGGGCAACUCUGCUUCUUGGUGCUUGGAAUGGUGACUUGGUGGCCUGGAAGGCUCCUCCUCAGUGCUGGUGAACAUUUUAUUUCAAGUAAGUCUUCUCACUUUAUUAAAUUUAUAAUUGUGAAAUUCAUGAAUUAUCCAUAGACUAGCAUUACAAAGUAUUGAAAGUAUAAAUCAU
rnacentral:lncRNA from 1 species